rnacentral:rRNA from 1 species
UGCCUAGCCCUAAACAGAACAAGUAUUUUACUGAUACUUCCGCCAGGGGACAACGAGCCCCAGCUUAAAACCCAAAGGACUUGGCGGUGCUUUAGACCCCCCUAGAGGAGCCUGUUAUAGAACCGAUAAUCCCCGUUCAACCUCACCUCCUCUUGUUAUUUCCCGCCUGUAUACCGCCGUCGUCAGUUUACCCUGUGAAGGCUUAACAGUAAGCAAAAUUGGUAAAGCCCAAAACGUCAGGUCGAGGUGCAGCUCAUGAGGAGGGAAGAAAUGGGCUACAUUUUCUGACCCAGAAAAUACGAAUGUUGUACUGAAAAAACAUCUUGAAGGAGGAUUUAGUAGUAAGGAGAGAAUAGAGCGCUCUCCUGAAAAAGGCUCUGAAGCGCGCACACACCG